rnacentral:rRNA from 1 species
GAUAAACGCUGGCGGCGUGCAUGAGACAUGCAAGUCAUACGGACGAGCUUGCUCGUUAGUGGCGAACGGCUGAGUAACGCGUAGGUGACCUGCCCCGAAGUGGGGGAUAACUGCCCGAAAGGGUGGCUAAUACCGCAUGUGGCGACGUGUUCAUUCACGUCAUCAAAGCCGCGAGGCGCUUCGGGAGGGGCCUGCGUCCGAUUAGCUCGUUGGUGGGGUAACGGCUCACCAAGGCGACGAUCGGUAGGUGGUCUGAGAGGACGAUCACCCAGACUGGGACUGAGACACGGCCCAGACUCCUACGGGAGGCAGCAGUCGGGAAUUUUGCUCAAUGGGGGAAACCCUGAAGCAGCAACGCCGCGUGCGGGAUGAAGGCCUUCGGGUUGUAAACCGCUUUUACCAGGGACGAUAAUGACGGUACCUGAUGAAUAAGUCACGGCUAACUACGUGCCAGCAGCCGCAGUAAUAC